rnacentral:rRNA from 1 species
ACUCCUACGGGAGGCAGCAGUAGGGAAUAUUGGUCAAUGGGCGAGAGCCUGAACCAGCCAUGCCGCGUGCAGGAAGACGGCCUUCUGGGUUGUAAACUGCUUUUAUCAGGGAACAAAAGGCCAUGCGUGGCAAAUUGCGUGUACCUGAAGAAUAAGGACCGGCUAACUCCGUGCCAGCAGCCGCGGUAAUACGGAGGGUCCAAGCGUUGUCCGGAUUUAUUGGGUUUAAAGGGUGCGUAGGCGGCCCUAUAAGUCAGUGGUGAAAUCCUUCAGCUCAACUGGAGAACUGCCAUUGAUACUGUAGGGCUUGAGUACAGACGAGGUAGGCGGAAAUUUAUGGUGUAGCGGUGAAAUGCAUAGAUACCAUAAAGAACACCUAUUGCGAAGGCAGCUUACUAGACUGUAACUGACGCUGAGGCACGAAAGCGUGGGAGCGAACAGGAUUAGAUACCCUGGUAGGCUCUGCU